rnacentral:RNase_P_RNA from 1 species
GUGAAAGCAGGGUAGGAAAGUCCGGACUCCGCAGGACAGGUGAUCGGGCUGUAAUGGCCCGGGGGCACGGGGCAAACCCGUGCGAUAGAGAGUACCACAGAAACAUACCGCCCUCCGUUGUUGAUCCGCGAGGAUCACGAAGGAAGGUAAGGGUGAAAAGGCGGUGUAAGAGACCACCGGCGCGAUAACACGCGUGCAAGGCAAACCUUCACCGGAGCAAGAUCAAAUAGGGGAACGACUGGCUGUUCGUCGGGUGUCCGCAAGGACUAAGUUCCCGGGUUGAUUGCUUAGAGGAAUGAUCGGAUAAAACAGAAUCCGGCUUACUCCUCG